rnacentral:rRNA from 1 species
UACGUAGGGGGCAAGCGUUGUUCGGAAUUACUGGGCGUAAAGGGCUCGUAGGUGGCCAACUAAGUCAGACGUGAAAUCCCUCGGCUUAACCGGGGAACUGCGUCUGAUACUGGAUGGCUUGAGUUUGGGGAGAGGGAUGCGGAAUUCCAGGUGUAGCGGUGAAAUGCGUAGAUAUCUGGAGGAACACCGGUGGCGAAGGCGGCAUCCUGGACCAACACUGACACUGAGGAGCGAAAAGCCAGGGGGAGCAAAACGGGG